rnacentral:lncRNA from 1 species
UACAAUCAAAGAUAGUAACCAUAAAUCACAUCUUGGACAAAAAGGAAAAUUUUUAUUUUUUGGUGAAUAGUGUCGUAUUCGUGAAUAGUGUCGUAUACGUGAAUAGUAACCCCGACACAAAAAGGUAGAAAUUCUACAAUAAAAUCCUUACCAAUAUUUUGGUAUAAUGAUAUUGAAAGAAUAACAUCAUUAGAAAGAAAAUAGCAUCCCUUACCUCAAAAUAUCAGUACUUCUGAUCGGAAUAUCGGUAUAAGGCUGAAGGAAACUUGUACUGAUGAAUAGCAACUCACAAAGUAUCUAAAUACUCACAAAAUAUGCUUGAUAAUAUAGAGAGAGAAAGAGAGAAAACUUGUUUCUGGUGUGAGUUUCAAUUCUAACUAAGCACCCUAUUUAUAGGAAAAUGCUUAGAACGCCAUAGCAGACUAACCUGCUACCUGAUGGCUUUACCUGCUACUAUUCAAGCCCACCACUUUUGAAAAUAAACUCCAACACAUUUCAUUACUCACCAACCAAAAGUGGAGCCCACCAUAUUUAUUCAUAAUAAAUAGCCCUUUUAUUAGAAAAAUUCGAAUCUCAUAUGCUUUCCAUAGGAAAUUUAAUUCUCUACAACUUUGUAAGUUUAAGGUUUUUCAAAUUCCAAACGAAAAAUGACCGAAAUCCACAUACGGACGAUUUUCAAAACCUCCAUUCCGACAAAAUACUAAUAAAACACCUCAGCAUUAAUUCCUUCAUUUAUAACCACAUAAAAUAAAUAUAUCCAUCAUUUAUAUCCACAUAAAAUAAAUAUUUCCUUAUCAUAUUAAUCAAGUACUAAUUAUUCACAAAUAAUAUUACAGAAUCACAAUUAUGACGACCAGGUCGUUCCCAGGAAAGAGGGGAAUUUCUGAUAAUGAUUUCUCCUUAUUGGAGCGCAAUUAGGUGACCAAACCCCUUUCCUAGACAGAACUUCCUUAGACAUUGCCAAUAAUGCUAUCUAAUAAUAUUAUUCAAAUAAUAUGAAUUAUUGAUCUGAUAAUGGAGAUACUGUGCAGUGAUAAUUAUUGAAACAAUAAUAAUAUAAAAUAUCAACGCAGCAAUUAUUGAACCAAUAAAAUAAAAUAUUAAACAGUAAUUACUGUAACAAUUAUUGAGUAGUGACUUCUUACGUAAGAAUCAAUAAUUUCAAAAAUACUGUGCAAUACCGUAUGCUACUGUGCAACCACGCGUAUUACUGUAUUUUAACCACCGGGUAUUCCAACAGUGUUAACGGUAACCAUUACGUCGUUAUUUAUAAAAACUCAAACUUGUCUUUUUCUUCAUCCGACAGUUAUCCGUUAUGGGGCCCACAAAUGGCUGCGUCGUCGUACGAAUAUUUCCCGACAGAAAGAAUAUUCCACGACAAAAUGAAUACUUUAUAACCACUUGCUUAUUUUACAAAAUUUGCACAUUUCACC